UUAAGCGACUAAGCGUACACGGUGGAUGCCCUGGCAGUCAGAGGCGAUGAAGGACGUGCUAAUCUGCGAAAAGCGUCGGUAAGGUGAUAUGAACCGUUACAGCCGGCGAUGUCCGAAUGGGGAAACCCAGUGCAAUUCGUUGCACUAUCGUUAACUGAAUACAUAGGUUAACGAGGCGAACCGGGGGAACUGAAACAUCUAAGUACCCCGAGGAAAAGAAAUCAACCGAGAUUCCCCCAGUAGCGGCGAGCGAACGGGGAGCAGCCCAGAGUCUGAAUCAGCUUGUGUGUUAGUGGAACGGUCUGGAAAGUCCGACGGUACAGGGUGAUAGUCCCGUACACCAAAAUGCACAGGCUGUGAACUCGAAGAGUAGGGCGGGACACGUGGUAUCCUGUCUGAAUAUGGGGGGACCAUCCUCCAAGGCUAAAUACUCCUGACUGACCGAUAGUGAACCAGUACCGUGAGGGAAAGGCGAAAAGAACCCCGGCGAGGGGAGUGAAAAAGAACCUGAAACCGUGUACGUACAAGCAGUGGGAGCACCUUCGGGUGUGACUGCGUACCUUUUGUAUAAUGGGUCAGCGACUUAUAUUCUGUAGCAAGGUUAACCGUAUAGGGGAGCCGCAGGGAAACCGAGUCUUAACUGGGCGUUAAGUUGCAGGGUAUAGACCCGAAACCCGGUGAUCUAGCCAUGGGCAGGUUGAAGGUUGGGUAACACUAACUGGAGGACCGAACCGACUAAUGUUGAAAAAUUAGCGGAUGACUUGUGGCUGGGGGUGAAAGGCCAAUCAAACCGGGAGAUAGCUGGUUCUCCCCGAAAGCUAUUUAGGUAGCGCCUCGUGAAUUCAUCUUCGGGGGUAGAGCACUGUUUCGGCUAGGGGGUCAUCCCGACUUACCAACCCGAUGCAAACUACGAAUACCGAAGAAUGUUAUCACGGGAGACACACGGCGGGUGCUAACGUCCGUCGUGAAGAGGGAAACAACCCAGACCGCCAGCUAAGGUCCCAAAGUCAUGGUUAAGUGGGAAACGAUGUGGGAAGGCACAGACAGCCAGGAUGUUGGCUUAGAAGCAGCCAUCAUUUAAAGAAAGCGUAAUAGCUCACUGGUCGAGUCGGCCUGCGCGGAAGAUGUAACGGGGCUAAACCAUGCACCGAAGCUGCGGCAGCGACACUAUGUGUUGUUGGGUAGGGGAGCGUUCUGUAAGCCUGCGAAGGUGACCUGUGAGGGUUGCUGGAGGUAUCAGAAGUGCGAAUGCUGACAUAAGUAACGAUAAAGCGGGUGAAAAGCCCGCUCGCCGGAAGACCAAGGGUUCCUGUCCAACGUUAAUCGGGGCAGGGUGAGUCGACCCCUAAGGCGAGGCCGAAAGGCGUAGUCGAUGGGAAACAGGUUAAUAUUCCUGUACUUGGUGUUACUGCGAAGGGGGGACGGAGAAGGCUAUGUUAGCCGGGCGACGGUUGUCCCGGUUUAAGCAUGUAGGCUGGUUGUCCAGGCAAAUCCGGAUAAUCAAGGCUGAGGUGUGAUGACGAGGCACUACGGUGCUGAAGUAACAAAUGCCCUGCUUCCAGGAAAAGCCUCUAAGCAUCAGGUAACAUUAAAUCGUACCCCAAACCGACACAGGUGGUCAGGUAGAGAAUACCAAGGCGCUUGAGAGAACUCGGGUGAAGGAACUAGGCAAAAUGGUGCCGUAACUUCGGGAGAAGGCACGCUGGUGUGUAGGUGAAGUCCCUGCGGAUGGAGCUGAGACCAGUCGAAGAUACCAGCUGGCUGCAACUGUUUAUUAAAAACACAGCACUGUGCAAACACGAAAGUGGACGUAUACGGUGUGACGCCUGCCCGGUGCCGGAAGGUUAAUUGAUGGGGUUAUCCGUAAGGAGAAGCUCUUGAUCGAAGCCCCGGUAAACGGCGGCCGUAACUAUAACGGUCCUAAGGUAGCGAAAUUCCUUGUCGGGUAAGUUCCGACCUGCACGAAUGGCGUAAUGAUGGCCAGGCUGUCUCCACCCGAGACUCAGUGAAAUUGAACUCGCUGUGAAGAUGCAGUGUACCCGCGGCAAGACGGAAAGACCCCGUGAACCUUUACUAUAGCUUGACACUGAACAUUGAGCCUUGAUGUGUAGGAUAGGUGGGAGGCUUUGAAGCGUGGACGCCAGUCUGCGUGGAGCCAACCUUGAAAUACCACCCUUUAAUGUUUGAUGUUCUAACGUUGGCCCCUUACCGGGGUUGCGGACAGUGUCUGGUGGGUAGUUUGACUGGGGCGGUCUCCUCCCAAAGCGUAACGGAGGAGCACGAAGGUUAGCUAAUCCUGGUCGGACAUCAGGAGGUUAGUGCAAUGGCAUAAGCUAGCUUGACUGCGAGCGUGACGGCGCGAGCAGGUGCGAAAGCAGGUCAUAGUGAUCCGGUGGUUCUGAAUGGAAGGGCCAUCGCUCAACGGAUAAAAGGUACUCCGGGGAUAACAGGCUGAUACCGCCCAAGAGUUCAUAUCGACGGCGGUGUUUGGCACCUCGAUGUCGGCUCAUCACAUCCUGGGGCUGAAGUAGGUCCCAAGGGUAUGGCUGUUCGCCAUUUAAAGUGGUACGCGAGCUGGGUUUAGAACGUCGUGAGACAGUUCGGUCCCUAUCUGCCGUGGGCGCUGGAGAAUUGAGGGGGGCUGCUCCUAGUACGAGAGGACCGGAGUGGACGCAUCACUGGUGUUCGGGUUGUCAUGCCAAUGGCACUGCCCGGUAGCUAAAUGCGGAAGAGAUAAGUGCUGAAAGCAUCUAAGCACGAAACUUGCCCCGAGAUGAGUUCUCCCUGAGACUUUAAGUCUCCUGAAGGAACGUUGAAGACGACGACGUUGAUAGGCCGGGUGUGUAAGCGCAGCGAUGCGUUGAGCUAACCGGUACUAAUGAACCGUGAGGCUUAACCUU
rnacentral:rRNA from 1 species